rnacentral:tRNA from 1 species
GAGGGUAUAGCUCAAGUGAUAGAGGACAUGCUUAGCAGGCAUGAGGUCCUGAGUUCAAUCCCCAGUACUUCCU